rnacentral:pre_miRNA from 1 species
AUCUGACGCCGGAACAACGCGGAGCAGCCCGCGCCACGGAAUCCCGUGGCGCGGGCUGCUCCGCGUUGUGCGAAGUCA